GAUGAACGCUGGCGGCGUGCCUAAUACAUGCAAGUCGAGCGAACAGACGAGGAGCUUGCUCCUCUGACGUUAGCGGCGGACGGGUGAGCAACACGUGGAUAACCUACCUAUAAGACUGGGAUAACUUCGGGAAACCGGAGCUAAUACCGGAUAAUAUAUUGAACCGCAUGGUUCAAUAGUGAAAGACGGUUUUGCUGUCACUUAUAGAUGUAUCCGCGCCGCAUUGGAUAGUUGGUAAGGUAACGGCUUACCAAGGCGACGAUGCGUAGCCGACCUGAGAGGGUGGUCGGCCAGACUGGCACUGAGACACGGUGCAGACUCCGACGGGGGGCAACAGUAGGGAAUCCUCCGCGAUGGGCGAAUGCCUGACAGAGCAACGCCGCGUGAGUGAUGAAGGUCUUCGGAUCGUAAAACUCUGUUAUUAGGGAAGAACAAAUGUGUAAGUAACUAUGCACGUCUUGACGGUACCUAAUCAGAAAGCCACGGCUAACUACGUG
rnacentral:rRNA from 1 species